CCUACGGGUGGCAGCAGUGGGGAAUAUUGCACAAUGGGGGAAACCCUGAUGCAGCGACGCCGCGUGAGCGAUGAAGUAUUUCGGUAUGUAAAGCUCUAUCAGCAGGGAAGAAGAUGACGGUACCUGACUAAGAAGCCCCGGCUAACUACGUGCCAGCAGCCGCGGUAAUACGUAGGGGGCAAGCGUUAUCCGGAUUUACUGGGUGUAAAGGGAGCGUAGACGGCGAUGCAAGCCAGAUGUGAAAGCCCGGGGCUCAACUCCGGGACUGCAGUUGGAACUGUUGGGCUGGAGUGUCGGAGAGGGAGGCGGAAUUCCUAGUGUAGCGGGGAAAUGCGUAGAUAUUAGGAGGAACACCAGUGGCGAGGGCGGCCUGCUGGACGAUAACUGACGUUGUGGCUCGAAAGCGUGGGGAGCAAACAGGAUUAGAUACCCCUGUAGU
rnacentral:rRNA from 1 species